rnacentral:rRNA from 1 species
UUUAAAAUUUAAAUUAAAAAUACUAAAAUAGUAUGUAAUUAUUUAUUGAAACUUAAAUAUUUUGGCGGUAUUUUAGUUUAUUUAGAGGAAUCUGUUUAUUAAUUGAUAAUCCACGAAUAAAUUUACUUAAUUUAAUAUUUUGUAUAUCGUUGUUAUAAAAAUAUUUUUUAAUAAUUAAUAAUAUUUAAAAAUUAUUAAAUAAAUUUAAAUCAAAUCAAGAUGCAGAUUAUAAUUAAGAAUAUAAUGGAUUACAAUAAAUUUAUUUAAAUGAAUUUUAAUUUGUAAUAGUUAAAUGAAAGUGGAUUUAAAUGUAAUUUUAUUUAUUUUAAUAAAAUGAUUAAAAA